GGUCCUGUGGCCCAAUGGAUAAGGCGCCUGACUACGAAUCAGGAGAUUCCAGGU
rnacentral:tRNA from 1 species